rnacentral:ncRNA from 2 species
CAAUUAAAUACUAAUAUUCGUCGUAUAAUCUUGGGGAUAUGGCCCAAAAGUUUCUACCGAGCUGCCGUAAAUAGCUUGACUACGCGGAUUGCAACUGGAUGU